rnacentral:rRNA from 1 species
GGCGCGAAACCUCCGCAAUGCGAGCAAUCGCGACGGGGGGACCCCAAGUGCCACUCUUAACGGGGUGGCUUUCUGGAAGUGUAAGAAAGCGUAGGAAAUACAGGCUGCGCAAGACAG